CUCUUGCUGCACUAUAGGAAACAGAGGCUUCCCCAUAGUUUUUUAUUGAUGUGGGGCACAAACCAGCUGAAAACCUCCCACCUGGAGGUCAGAGGAUGGAAAGGGUUGGGGUGGAAGGGAAGGGAUGGAGCCCGGCUGCUCCAGCCACUUGUUUUGUCCCUUUUCUGCUUGGUUUCUGCUGCUGGGAAUCCAACGCAUUUCCUGUAAUUGCACAGCUCAGUGCCUGAAGCAUUCAGCCGGGAACCCCAGGGUGAUUUCUGCUGUCUGUGGGCUAGGAUGAAUCUUAAGCUGUACCAGGCAGCUUCCUAAAGCUGUCAGAGUCUUGGCUCAAGCUCUGGGUAAAUGCUCACACCUAAGGAGGCUGUAUUAAGGGCUUUGUCUCAGCACCCACCCCUUCCAGCUCAGAUUCGUCCUUGCAGCCCUGGCUGCUGGAACCAAGAUACAUCAAGAUAGCAAGGGAGGAUGCUUGAUGUCAGCGCAGCUAUUGCACUUGCGGAGGGGGAGUUUCCUGAAGCCAGCACUUUGAGGAAAGGAUGAAUUUGAAACCUUUUGGAGGAGAUGAAAAGUAGAAAAAGAAAAUCAAUGCAAGGAAAGUGCAGUGUUGCAGUCAUCUGGAAUAAAUGUACACCUCCAGGACUCACUUCACCUCACCUUAGGGAGACAUCAACAUCAAUUGUGUUGAGCCAGGUCUUCUGGUACAUGUUUCUGCACAGUGACAGCAAGGGUAUCUUCUGUGGUUGGCUUGGCUGACGCCAUCUGCACUCCAGCUAUGUGAAUUUGGAGUUCCAGUUAUUUUCUCAACACUGAAUACCACAGGGUGCGGGAAGAGGAUUGCACGGGCUGCACUGAAGAAACAAGCUCAGAGGCAGAUAAUGAAGCACGUCUGUAUGCAGGGGGCACAGCUUGACAUACAGAAAUACUGACAGUAGGAAGAAAUCAGGAUUUAAGGCACUUUCAGCUUGUGCAGGAGACCUUGCGGGUAACUUGUAUCUGGUUGCCCUUGCUGUACUUGCACCGGUCUGCAACCAAACCCUUCUGGCAGCAGUACCAACCAGAUGUCUUCUGCACCUAGCUCUGCCUCGAUGUCUCCUUCCUAGAGUGGAUGCUGUACUGCAGAUACCCAGCCUGGAAAGGAACAAGGGCAAGGAGCUACCCGUGUCAGAAAAUAACAGGGGCACAGCAAGCACUCCCCAAGGAAGGAAAAAAAAACUCAUUGGCAUCUUAUGUAUGUUAUUUGGAGCUGCUUUCUGCUGCAGCUGCUACCCACAAAGCACCAACCCCUUGAUAAUCCCUGUCUGCAGCCACAUUUAUUCAGUAGCAGUGAAGGAGAAAGCUCAGGAGAGGGAAAAAAAAUAUUUUUCCUGCCCCACAGUUAGAAGUGAUUUUGAUUAAUCUCCUCGUCCAACAGCUUUGGAGGAAAUUACAGCCAGGGAAUCAAAUGGAGAAGCAGGGGGAACCAUAGCCUGGUUUGCAUCAAUCCAUGAAGACUCCAUGAAAAGAUUUUAAGUGAGGGAAACUGAGGAAUGGGGGAGGUUGAGGCAGAGAGAGGGAGGGAGGAGUGGAGGGAGAGAUGGACCUUGGGGAACUGUUGCAGACAUGCAAUAAGAAGACCAGGAAUCAUGGAAAGUGUUUUGAGAGGAUAUGAAAGAUAUGACAGUGUGUGACUGGAGGUACACGGGGUGGUGCUGGUGGAGAGUAUGGGGACUAUGAUCAUGAAGACCUUGCAGGUGCAGAAAUUUUCAAUUCAGCUGCAGAGAAAAAAGUCAAAGAUGAUAUUGAGAUGGAUGCAUGCAUUGCCAUCUCUGUUAGUCUUUAAUACCUCUGUUGCUACCUUUUCUCUUUUUGUACCACCUGUAUAAGGUCUGGGCAAUUCUGGAGGUUGUUAAAGGACAUUAAGGGCAAAUUAAAAUUCCUGCAUACAAGUCCCAAGAUCUAAGUUACUGAAAGGGGCAAGACCCUUCACAGUGCUUGUGACUCUGCAGGCCCUGAGCACUGGAAGCAGCAUCUCAGCUCCACUGUAGGGUUAUGAAGAUGGUUUUCCACCAGCAAGGCUGGCAGAUGGCUCAUCCUCUGUGAAGAUGUGAUUUGUGCAGUCAGUAUGAAUUGCCCAUUCCAGCAGAGCAGCCAACAGUUUUUAGAAAUUAUGCUUAAAUAAGCAAAAUAUCUCAAAAUAGGUGCAAAAAGUGUGUUUUAGGACAGCUUCUUAGGAUUAUUCUCUGGGUAGUGUAUUCUCUAAGCUACAGAUGUGGAACGGCAGCUGUGUGUUUUUUUAAGGAGCAGCCAGCCCCUGUCUCUUGGAAGGACUGACCCUGCCACUUGCCAUCUGCAGUUCCUGAAGCCAUUUUGUUUGGUCACGACUCUGCUAACCAAACCUGUCCUUUGGUAUUUGCUUUGGGGAAUUUCUGAGAUGCUUCUGCCACCUUUUAUCCUCAUGCCAAAGUUUCGGUACAAGAGGGCUUAGGAUAAACCAAUAGCAUGGACAAUCACCAUCAGGAUUUACGUAAACCUUUUCAAAGAGCUCAAAUACAAAAUUACCCGCAUUGUGUAACAUAGCCUCUUAAACCAAUCUCCCCAGCACAAGAACAAGGCAGGGAAAUGUAAGCCUAAUUGUUUGCAAGGGCUGCAAGUAAUUCCAAGGACCCAGGGAUAAUCCAGCUCUUUGAAUUAAGUUUGCCAAGAGGCAGAGCAAACAAAGAGAUACAGGGCUGCAUGGAGCUGCUCCAGGCAGGGAAUAAAAGAAAUGCAGGAACUGUUUGAAAAGCCACACCCAAACCAAACAGGUUUGCAAACAAGCACAGUCAGAGGAGGUGAAGGGGUCUCUGGAGGCGCUUCAAACAUUCAAAAUAAGAUUUUCCUUCAUGUCUCCGCAAGCUGCUUGGACUCUGACAACACCUCGGUGCUGCAAUUCACUUUGUUGCCUUCUUGGGAGGUGGGGAACGGCUUGGUUUGGAGCAACUGGUGUACAUGGGGACACGAUGACGUAGUGACACGGACUUCCUUGUGGCUUAUCCCAGUGGGGACCAUUGUGUUCACCAGCCUGGAGGACUGCAUUUAUAAGCACCUGAGCAUUAGACAUGUCAAUUUCUUUAUGCAUCCCUUUAUGUUCAGAGGGGAAGGGCAGAGUGUCAUGUCUCAAAGCAGCAGGCAUUUGAUGUUCCUCAUAAUCCCAUCCGGAUAUGCUGCUGCUCAGGAUCACUUAUCACUGGACCACCACUAGGUGCCUCCAGAGGAGACCCAGAAGCCUGCCUUACGCUGAGACAGAUCACCCUUCUGCAGUCUACAUCUAAUUAACAAGUCAUUAGGUACCCAGAGAGGGUAGUGCAUUACCACUGCAUCGCCUUUAGGUGAGAUCUGUGAAAAAAAUAAAUCUCUUUUCCUUUCAGUUCCAAACCUGA